ACUCCUACGGGAGGCAGCAGUGGGGAAUAUUGCACAAUGGGCGCAAGCCUGAUGCAGCCAUGCCGCGUGUGUGAAGAAGGCCUUCGGGUUGUAAAGCACUUUCAGUUGUGAGGAAGGUGGUGUCGUUAAUAGCGGCAUCAUUUGACGUUAGCAACAGAAGAAGCACCGGCUAACUCCGUGCCAGCAGCCGCGGUAAUACGGAGGGUGCGAGCGUUAAUCGGAAUUACUGGGCGUAAAGCGCAUGCAGGUGGUUUGUUAAGUCAGAUGUGAAAGCCCGGGGCUCAACCUCGGAACUGCAUUUGAAACUGGCAGACUAGAGUACUGUAGAGGGGGGUAGAAUUUCAGGUGUAGCGGUGAAAUGCGUAGAGAUCUGAAGGAAUACCGGUGGCGAAGGCGGCCCCCUGGGACAGAUACUGACACUCAGAUGCGAAAGCGUGGGGAGCAAACAGGAUUAGAUA
rnacentral:rRNA from 1 species